rnacentral:lncRNA from 1 species
GGGAUAUGUUUGUAGUUAAAAUAAUGAUGGUCGGAUCCAGCUGACGAGGUCAAGGUAAUUCCAAAUUGUUGCUGGAUGGAGUGCCAAAAAAAGCAGUGACAUAAACAGAAAGUUUCUUCAUAGAACAGUGCCAGAUAGAUCAAAUCAGGUAUAAACCUACAUCAGUCUUAUUUUCUUACCAGAAAUUUUUUUUCCACUCUCUUUUUCCUGGUGUAUGUUGUUCCGAAAGACAAUC